rnacentral:rRNA from 1 species
AGAGUUUGAUCCUGGCUCAGAUUGAACGCUGGCGGCAUGCCUUACACAUGCAAGUCGAACGGCAGCACGGGAGCAAUCCUGGUGGCGAGUGGCGAACGGGUGAGUAAUAUAUCGGAACGUGCCCAGUCGUGGGGGAUAACGUAGCGAAAGCUACGCUAAUACCGCAUACGAUCUACGGAUGAAAGCGGGGGACUCGUAAGGGCCUCGCGCGAUUGGAGCGGCCGAUAUCAGAUUAGGUUGUUGGUGAGGUAAAAGCUCACCAAGCCUGCGAUCUGUAGCUGGUCUGAGAGGACGACCAGCCACACUGGAACUGAGACACGGUCCAGACUCCUACGGGAGGCAGCAGUGGGGAAUUUUGGACAAUGGACGCAAGUCUGAUCCAGCAAUGCCGCGUGCAGGACGAAGGCCUUCGGGUUGUAAACUGCUUUUGUACGGAACGAAACGGUCUUCUUUAAUACAGAGGGCUAAUGACGGUACCGUAAGAAUAGACG